rnacentral:rRNA from 1 species
AUUGAACGCUGGCGGCAGGCUUUACACAUGCAAGUCGGACGAGUGGCGGACGGGUGAGUAACGUCUCGGAACGUACCUGAUAGAGGGGGAUAACUGUCCGACACGGCAGCUAAUACCGCAUACUAUUCGAGCGGCCGAUGUCGGAUUAGCUUGUUGGCGGGGUAAAGGCCCACCAAGGCGACGAUCAGUAGCGGGUCUGAGAGGAUGAUCCGCCACUCUGGUACUGAGACACGGUCCAGACUCCUACGGGAGUCAGCAGUGGGGAAUUUUGGACAAUGGGCGAAAGCCUGAUCCAGCCAUGCCGCGUGUCUGAAGAAGGCCUUCGGGUUGUAAAGGACUUUUGUCAGGGAAGCGGUACCUGCAGAAGAAGCACCGGCUAACUCCGUGCCAGCAGCCGCGGUAAUAC